rnacentral:rRNA from 1 species
AUUGAACGCUGGCGGCAGGCCUAACACAUGCAAGUCGAGCGGAUGAAGGGAGCUUGCUCCUGGAUUCAGCGGCGGACGGGUGAGUAAUGCCUAGGAAUCUGCCUGGUAGUGGGGGAUAACGUCCGGAAACGGGCGCUAAUACCGCAUACGUCCUGAGGGAGAAAGUGGGGGAUCUUCGGACCUCACGCUAUCAGAUGAGCCUAGGUCGGAUUAGCUAGUUGGUGGGGUAAAGGCCUACCAAGGCGACGAUCCGUAACUGGUCUGAGGAUGAUCAGUCACACUGGAACUGAGACACGGUCCAGACUCCUACGGGAGGCAGCAGUGGAGAAUAUUGGACAAUGGGCGAAAGCCUGAUCCAGCCAUGCCGCGUGUGUGAAGAAGGUCUUCGGAUUGUAAAGCACUUUAAGUUGGGAGGAAGGGCAGUAAGUUAAUACCUUGCUGUUUUGACGUUACCAACAGAAUAAGCACCGGCUAACUUCGUG